GUUACACCCCGCAACAGCCACUAGUGGUGCCUGCACGAACAAGCUGUCGAAAGGACAUUAACCCCGCCGAGGAGUCGCUAUGCAGGAGCUUCUGCUAGCCUGUACCCACCAAAAAUGUAAAUCCUCCCUUCUGGCUCAGUGUGCAACCUGCAGGGGCGAAUGGGCAACCCGACUACAGCCUGACACCAAGAGAUUAUAUACCCACCUUUGAAACAUACUCAUCACAGAUUAUAACUGGUAGAAAACAACCUCACGUAACGACUGUAGACGCCCCGCGGAUAAAUGCCAAAAAAAGCACAUAAACCGAGCUGAAAACGUAUGCCAACUUAGUUUGACAUAUCAUGUGUACAAAGAAAGUUUUAGACAGACGUGCCAACAUUAGUGAGUCGCAAAUUCAGUAUUACAUAACGAAACGUGUUGUUGCGUGCAUUUUUUUUUUUACCCGGGACUGUUUCCUGCUUGCAACACAGCAACCCCGGCUAUCCCCGUAACCCUCUAGCGGCGCGGACUGCACCGAUGCCCGGCGUGCAGCGCUAGGAGACUCCGCAGAGCAACCAUGUUUCUUGGUACCGGCCACGGUUGUCAAAAACCAACCGCGUUUGGUUGUUAAACGCGUUAAACCUGUGGAAGCUUAGCCAUGCAGGCAGAGAGGCACCAAAGUGAAAAAAGAGGUUCAGCACCAUGGACAGCAACUCUCCUCAAUUCAGCCUCGGAGGACAAGCGGGAGCAUAAUACCUGAAGAACUACAUUCAGUGUUUAUCACUAUAACAUUUGUAAAAUAUUCUUUUUCAAAGUUAUGAAACUUGCAUUGUUCACAAUAGCUUGCAGCUUUUGCAUCUCUGCAAAGGGCAGAAAUGUAUAUCAUGUCACCCCUGCAAUGCUUGCAAUAUGCAUGUGUAUCCCUGCAUGCCUGCUAAAACAUAUGAUGCAAACAUUGCUCUACAGCACUUCAGAUGGUCAAAAGCUCCACAGGGUUUUAAUUAUUUCCCGUCCUGCUCUGUAGGAUUUGCAGGGAAGUGCAGGUAAUUGCUGGCAAUUAGUAUUUAGUCCUGCCGAAUACAUUAACAAGGCUAGACCUUGUAGUUAUUUGAGAAGAGGGUGGUGCAGAAACUGGUUCCCUGAGGCAGGUGGAACUUACUAACACCUUGUCCUGACCUGAAUUUUUCUUUCUGGAUCUUGAUGAUUAGCCUAGCUUCUACUCUGACCUAUACUUUUUGUUUCGAUUAUGGACAAAGGAUGAGUCACUGCAGACAGAAAGACCAACCACAAUACUGUAUGAGACUAUGUCAUAAGUCCAAAUACUUGUGACCAAGAAGGUCCAACAGAGGAUGUUCUUCCUGAGGCAGCUGAGGAAGCUCAACCUGAUGCAGGCAGCCUUUUAUCUACACUGCCAUCAUUGAGUCUAUCCUCACAUCAUCUUUCACUGUUUGGUACAGUGCAGCAACUGAAGAGGACAGUUAGUGGCUGCAGCGCAUCAUUUGAAACAAGAUCAUCUCUGACCCAUCCCACCCUGGACACAGACUCUCUGAACUUCUUCCCUCAGGAAAAAGACUGAGAUUCAUAAUAACCUGAACUGUACUGUUAUCAAACGGGACUUUAAAUUUCACAUUCCUUAUUUAAUCCUUGCACUUGUCACUUUCAUAUAUUUCAUCAAACUGGUUUUAACAUUAUACAUUGCAUUCUACCUACACUGUUAAAUAAUUUAAUUAUUUAUUGCAUUUUUAUUACAUGUCACAUUUAAUUUUUGCACUUGUCACCUUCAUACGUUUCAUACACUUCAUUUCUUUGUUCAUAGCACAGUCCAUAUUUCCUUUGUACAGUCAAUAUCUCAUUUCAAGUUUUGAUAUCCCAGGAUCAAACGCCAAGACACAUUCUUUGUAUCAUUGCAUACUUGGCUAAUAAAACAGGUUCUGAUUCUGA